rnacentral:lncRNA from 1 species
GGGCCAUGUGGCUUGUGGGCUUCUGGGUGUCCCCCACCUGCCCAAGCCAUAAGAUGUGGCAACAGACAUGCUUUUGGGUGCUAGGAAUGGAGACCAAUGAUUGAGCAUUCGAGACCAACAAGCUACUCACUGACCUACACCCCCAGCUCCUCAACCAGUUUUGGCUGGAAAGACUACUCUGCAUGGGACACAGGAAACCUGCUGGUUGUCACCAGCCCUGGGCCUCCUUGGGCACGAACUUGGUGGAAGCUCCCACUGUCCUCAGAGGACUCUCCAUGCUGCAGGUGCCCUAGCACACCCAGGAUCUUGGGAUGACUGGUUUAAUGAUUCCUGGACAGUAGACCACCAAAUUGGGCACAUUUCCUGAAGGAUCAAUAUGAAGAUGGACUUUAAUGUAGUAAUGCUGUGCACAUGAAUUGGUGAUUUCAUAAUUCCUGAUAAUGAUUAUAUACAAUUCAUAAACUGAUACAAGUAAUUUCAAACCCCGUGUAAAAUAAAAGGUGCAAAUAGAGCUCUGUCAAUCUUCAUGUGUCAAGGGCUAAUUGCACUAGGAAAGGAAAGCAGACUUGUAACAAAUUUACGAUCAAGGAAAACAUUCCUUCUAGGGUAGGAAUGACUCCACUAUCUGAUAACUAAAGGCUACAAACUUGGAACAGGCCAUUUAUUAUAGGUGCAAGGACAGAAAAUGAAUGAUGGACUAGUCUAUCUAUAUAAGAUGUCAAAAUAAUAAGACACAAGGCAGAUGAGUCGUCUCUUGACAAAACUGUGCUAAUUUAUGACGUAAAAUUUUGCUUUUAACUUAUGGGUUAGUAAGAUAAUGAACGUCUAGUCAAUACUAGUCUUAAUAGAAAGACAUGUAAACAAUUCUGCUAUAACUCUUUUUUUGAUCUAUGACAUGAACUAUAGCCUAAAACUUACGAUAAACUUAUGGAAUAUGAAAGUGCUUAGAAAC